UUAGAGUAGCACUCUGUAACUACCUAGUUCAUACUCUCUUCCUCUGUGGUGCUGUACCUUUCAUCUAGUUGAAAGCAUAAAACAAUGUGUCUGCUGUUCUGCACAUAUUAUUGAAAUUAAGUGACAUGAGAUGAUAAAUUGCUUUUAUUAUGCUAAGUACAAAAAUGCAAUGCAUUUGUUUUUUCAGUUUAUUUCCUUUUGAUUUUUUUUGACAUAAUUUUGAUUUGUGAUUGUGGGAUAUUUAUCCAUAACUAUCACAGCCUAUAUUUGCAUAUACUUCGUCACAGAGUGCAAUUGAUGUGCGUAAAUGAAACAAGUUUGCGAAUAUCUGGAUGUGCAUAAAAGCAACAAGUUUGUGAAUAUCUGGCUGUGCAGUUCCACCUUAUUUGCAUGUAUCCGACCAUUAAUUUUUUUUUCUGUGUUUCAUGUUUGCUGCAGUGGAUCAUACAUGGUGAUCAACAGUUUCUUUCUCUAUUCUCAACAUUUGUGUUCUAAAACUGUAUGAGCAACUCUCCAAUGCUGCAAAACUGUUAAAUUAGAGGAAGCAUCUUGUCUCAGUCGGCGUUCGUUGGAGGGACAGUAAGUCAACUUAUCUCUGCGAUCUCUGCGAAAAACGUAGUAAUAGAUUAGUAUAUGAUUAAUUAAUUAUUAAUUAUUAAAAAAAUAUAAAAUAGAUUAAUAUGAUUUUUUAAACAACUUUCCUAUAAAAUUAUUUUGUAAAAAGAACACCGUUUAUCAAUUAAGGAAGCAUGCGCGUGAAAAAUAAAUUAACUAGAGGGGGUGGCCGAACACCGCCUUACUCGCACCACCACUACCUUAGCCUCUCUCUCAUGGUUACUUGCACCACCUUAUCCUGGCCUAUCUCUCUCAUGCAGGCCAAGUUUGACCUGGCUAUAAGGAUACACGUAUAGCUGUUUGGUUGCUUGGUUUAGUUUAGACUAGCUGGUAUGAGAUUGUGUUUGGUAAAGAUGUUAACGGAUCAGAUAAUAUCCGAUCCUAUCCUAUCCAAAUCCGUUUGAAUUGAGUAUGUGGUAGGGGUUUACAAUUAUCCGGCGAACAUGGAGUCGGAUUCGGAUAGUGAGUUGCGGAUUCCGAUACAGAUAUUGUAUUGUUAAUAUCCGGUGCAUGCAUAUUAUCCGAUUUAUCUGAUAGACAUUUUAGCGGAUAAUCCAAGUUUUUAGGCCACAAAGCACUCAAUCAAAAGCCCAUCAAUAGCUCAAGUAUUUUUAAUUCAAUAUUGAAUGAUAAUGUAUUGAUUACAUGUACAUAUCACAUCCGAUCAUAAUAAUCCAUUUUCGAGCCAACUCCGUACCGACUCCACACUAUUUCCAAUAUUUACAACAAUCCGCAUCCGAAAACAUCUGCACCCACUCUGCAUCCGCUUAAAAAUAUGGUUUAGGAUAUGAUAUGACAACUGUCCGUCCAAAUCCGAUCCGCUAACACCCCUAGUGUUUGGUUGCCUAUACAAAAAGUAGGCUAAGAAGAGAUUUUGUUUGGUUGAUUGUAUGUAUAGUAUGUAUGGGUACCUAUAUUUUUUUGGUUGAGAUGAUCAAUUUAUGAAUUAAUAUUAGUAAUAUAGAUAAAUUAAAUAAUUUCACGCACUAAAUUAACCUAUUUUUAAAGUAUCAUUGAGCUAAUAACAUUCUUGUAAAUUCUUCCAAUUUUAAGGAAAACUGAAAACAAAUAUCAGAGUCACAAUAGAUCACAUCGUCUUUAGAAAAAAUAAUUAACAAUCACGUGGUGAUUAUCUCUCCAGAGCAACCGGUUAGGGAAAGGAUAGAAAAAGGGAUAAUCUCUUGCAUGCACCUCAAAUUUUGGCUAAUCUCUUCUAUGCUCCUGAAUUUUCCUUACUUCCAUAUCCCUUCCGCUAGUUGACCAUCUAAUUUCAACAAAAUUGAUAAUUUUACCCAUUAGAUAAACAUAUAAAUAUAUGAAUUACAUUAUUAAAAAUGUAAAAGUUUAUCUCAUGAGACUAUUAGUAGUUAUGAAUUUGCUGUGCGAUACAUUAUUUAUGAAAAAAAAAUUCAUAGAUAAUAAAAUAAAAAAUAUGUAUUUAUUUUGUUUUUAAAAAUUCAAAAAAUAAGGACCGUUGAUGUAAAGAUAGGAUUACCAAUGUUCAUGAUAUUUUUUAAGUGUUCCCGACAAAAAAUAUAUUGUCCUAUUAAAUUUCAAAUAAAAAUUAAUCUAUUAUAUUGUUUUAUUUUAAAAUUUAUGUUAGUUUUUUUCACUAAUUAUGUUUGUCUCAUGAGUUACUUAAAAUGCACACACUAUGCACUCAAAUGAAAAUUUCAAUCGUUUUUCAAGCUUAUAUAUAUUCAAACAUAAAUCAUCGAGCGCAUUGAAGUCUUUUGUCACAAACUUAACUGUGAAAUAAAGGAAAAUCUAACAGCAGGGAUAUGGAAGGGAUCGGGUAAAUUUCAAGGAUAUAUAAGAGAUUGAGUGAGUUUGUAGCUGUAUAUAGGAAAUUUACCCUAAAAAAAAUGGCGUCAAUUUCCUCGCAUGUUGCUUCUCUCUCCUCGCCGCCGAAUCAAUCCGUUCGCGUGACGCAACAGCCCCCGCAACGCCGUCCGCUGCAGAUCUAGGGCGGCGAUGGGGAGCGGUGCAGGCGUGGCGGCUAACAACGUCGAGCGGCGGACGGGGCCGCAGCAGCCCCACGACGGUUCUCGCUUUAGAUCUAGGGCGAUGGGCCC
rnacentral:lncRNA from 1 species